UCUUAACUGGGCGUUAAGUUGCAGGGUAUAGACCCGAAACCCGGUGAUCUAGCCAUGGGCAGGUUGAAGGUUGGGUAACACUAACUGGAGGACCGAACCGACUAAUGUUGAAAAAUUAGCGGAUGACUUGUGGCUGGGGGUGAAAGGCCAAUCAAACCGGGAGAUAGCUGGUUCUCCCCGAAAGCUAUUUAGGUAGCGCCUCGUGAACUCAUCUUCGGGGGUAGAGCACUGUUUCGGCUAGGGGGUCAUCCCGACUUACCAACCCGAUGCAAACUACGAAUACCGAAGAAUGUUAUCACGGGAGACACACGGCGGGUGCUAACGUCCGUCGUGAAGAGGGAAACAACCCAGACCGCCAGCUAAGGUCCCAAAGUCAUGGUUAAGUGGGAAACGAUGUGGGAAGGCACAGACAGCCAGGAUGUUGGCUUAGAAGCAGCCAUCAUUUAAAGAAAGCGUAAUAGCUCACUGGUCGAGUCGGCCUGCGCGGAAGAUGUAACGGGGCUAAACCAUGCACCGAAGCUGCGGCAGCGACACUAUGUGUUGUUGGGUAGGGGAGCGUUCUGUAAGCCUGCGAAGGUGUGCUGUGAGGCAUGCUGGAGGUAUCAGAAGUGCGAAUGCUGACAUAAGUAACGAUAAAGCGGGUGAAAAGCCCGCUCGCCGGAAGACCAAGGGUUCCUGUCCAACGUUAAUCGGGGCAGGGUGAGUCGACCCCUAAGGCGAGGCCGAAAGGCGUAGUCGAUGGGAAACAGGUUAAUAUUCCUGUACUUGGUGUUACUGCGAAGGGGGGACGGAGAAGGCUAUGUUAGCCGGGCGACGGUUGUCCCGGUUUAAGCAUGUAGGCUGAUUGUCCAGGCAAAUCCGGAUAAUCAAGGCUGAGGUGUGAUGACGAGGCACUACGGUGCUGAAGUAACAAAUGCCCUGCUUCCAGGAAAAGCCUCUAAGCAUCAGGUAACAUUAAAUCGUACCCCAAACCGACACAGGUGGUCAGGUAGAGAAUACCAAGGCGCUUGAGAGAACUCGGGUGAAGGAACUAGGCAAAAUGGUGCCGUAACUUCGGGAGAAGGCACGCUGGUGUGUAGGUGAAGUCCCUGCGGAUGGAGCUGAGACCAGUCGAAGAUACCAGCUGGCUGCAACUGUUUAUUAAAAACACAGCACUGUGCAAACACGAAAGUGGACGUAUACGGUGUGACGCCUGCCCGGUGCCGGAAGGUUAAUUGAUGGGGUUAUCCGUAAGGAGAAGCUCUUGAUCGAAGCCCCGGUAAACGGCGGCCGUAACUAUAACGGUCCUAAGGUAGCGAAAUUCCUUGUCGGGUAAGUUCCGACCUGCACGAAUGGCGUAAUGAUGGCCAGGCUGUCUCCACCCGAGACUCAGUGAAAUUGAACUCGCUGUGAAGAUGCAGUGUACCCGCGGCAAGACGGAAAGACCCCGUGAACCUUUACUAUAGCUUGACACUGAACAUUGAGCCUUGAUGUGUAGGAUAGGUGGGAGGCUUUGAAGCGUGGACGCCAGUCUGCGUGGAGCCAACCUUGAAAUACCACCCUUUAAUGUUUGAUGUUCUAACGUUGGCCCCUUACCGGGGUUGCGGACAGUGUCUGGUGGGUAGUUUGACUGGGGCGGUCUCCUCCCAAAGCGUAACGGAGGAGCACGAAGGUUAGCUAAUCCUGGUCGGACAUCAGGAGGUUAGUGCAAUGGCAUAAGCUAGCUUGACUGCGAGCGUGACGGCGCGAGCAGGUGCGAAAGCAGGUCAUAGUGAUCCGGUGGUUCUGAAUGGAAGGGCCAUCGCUCAACGGAUAAAAGGUACUCCGGGGAUAACAGGCUGAUACCGCCCAAGAGUUCAUAUCGACGGCGGUGUUUGGCACCUCGAUGUCGGCUCAUCACAUCCUGGGGCUGAAGUAGGUCCCAAGGGUAUGGCUGUUCGCCAUUUAAAGUGGUACGCGAGCUGGGUUUAGAACGUCGUGAGACAGUUCGGUCCCUAUCUGCCGUGGGCGCUGGAGAAUUGAGGGGGGCUGCUCCUAGUACGAGAGGACCGGAGUGGACGCAUCACUGGUGUUCGGGUUGUCAUGCCAAUGGCACUGCCCGGUAGCUAAAUGCGGAAGAGAUAAGUGCUGAAAGCAUCUAAGCACGAAACUUGCCCCGAGAUGAGUUCUCCCUGAGACUUUAAGUCUCCUGAAGGAACGUUGAAGACGACGACGUUGAUAGGCCGGGUGUGUAAGCGCAGCGAUGCGUUGAGCUAACCGGUACUAAUGAACCGUGAGGCUUAACCUU
rnacentral:rRNA from 1 species